rnacentral:tRNA from 1 species
UGGUCUGUAGCUCAGUGGUAGAGCAUCAGGCUCAUAACCUGAAGCGCGCUGGUUCGAAUCCAGCCGGACCGA